rnacentral:tRNA from 1 species
CCAGCUGUGGCGCAGCUGGCUGGGGCACCUGCAUCGUACGCCGGCGACCCGGGUUCGAUUCCCGCCCCGUGGU